rnacentral:rRNA from 1 species
UAUCUAGUUUAAUUUUUAAAUAUUUGUCAGUGGAGUAGGAGGUUUAGCUAUAUAAAUUUUUUAUAUAAUCGCUAGUAUUGCCUACUAAAUCAAAAAAAUUUUAAUUUUUAAAUAACAGAAAUAAAAUGUAGAAUUAACAUACUAUUUUUUGUUUCAUAAAUAAUAUUAUAUUUUUUAGUGUUGAAAUGUCGAAUUUUAUUAUUUCUUUAUUAUUUUUUUUUAUUAGAAAAUUAUAAAUUUUAAUUAUCGUCCAAAAUCCUAUAAUUUGUAAUGUUUAUUUUUUUAUUUUCAUAAUUGUUUUUUCUUUUGUUUGAAAUAUUUAUUAUUUAUUGUUAUUUUUUUAAUAAUUUGAUAAUCAUAUUAUUAGUAUUAAUUUUUUAAUUUAAAUGUUUGAAUUUUUAAUUUAAUUGAAAAAAUUGAGUAUAAAUCAAAUGUUUUUUAAAGACUUAGGUUUUUUAUUAAAACUUUCUUCUGCCAAUUGAAUUUUUAAAAGGCAGUCUUAGCGUGAGGACAUUAAAGUAGCAAAAUAAUUUGUGCUUUUAAUAAGUUCCAGUAUGAAUGAAGAUUUUGGUUUAUUAUUUUUAUGUUUUUUUUUAGAAUUUAUUUUAUUUUUAAAAAACAGAAUUUAUAUUUUUACAAAAAUAAGUCUUUGGAAAUUUCAUUAUAUUUAUUUAUAAUUUGUUUAGGGAAAACUUUUUUAUAAUAUUAUUUCACUAAUUUUAAUUUAAAAAAUUACUCCAGAG